UUUAAAGCCAAUGGUGGCUAAUCUCCCACAAUUCACGGCGACGCAGAAACCGCCCUAUAUGCAGGCUUAUUUGCCCAGCGGUCGGAUGUGCGCAUGCUUGCAUUGCGGGCGCAGGGCGUUGUGGGGGUUCCUUUGUUAUGUGUCCGAGUUGGUGGAAGCGGUACUGAGGAUCGAAGAGGUACUCUCCUGGGGAGUAAGGGAGCCCAAUAACAGUGUCGUUCAGCUCUCAUUGCCCUUCAACUGAGUGACUCUCCAAGCCAUUUCAGAGAACAGCUGGCAUUGUCAGCAACAUUGCCGUGGAUCCGCGUUAACUUGUAGGCCGGAUCAGAGUCAUAUUGGUGAGUGGUGAUUGACCUUCCUGGGAACCCAUAGGAAGAAUUUCUAAACAGCUGGAGGAACAAGGGAGCAGCACAUUCAGUCAGCCAUCCUGCUGAUCGAGAACUGGAACUGGGGUCAGUGUGAUAAAUAAUAAUGAGUUUUGAAAGGGGCCAUUUACAGAUGAGAAACUGAAAUCAAAUAUCGUGUUAAGAUCUGACAGUCACUUACCUCCUGACCUGAAUAUCUUGAGCUUUGAGCUGAAAAGAAGACACUUCUUAACCAGUUACACAGCCUGAAGAAAACACUUCCCCAUUCACAGCAGAGAGAAACCAUAAAUGUAUUCUGUAUGAGGACGAAGCUUCAUCUGAUUCAUACACGUAUAUCUCGCUAAUAAUCAUCCACCAAGACGAGCAGAAUGGAGAAACCGUGGAAGUGUGGCGACUGUGGAAAGGAAUUCCGUUUUGCAUCCCAGCUGGAAACUCAUCAACGCAGUCAUACAGGGGAGAGACCAUUCCCCUGCUCAGAGUGUGGGAAGGGAUUUAUUAAUUCAUCCUCACUUCUGAGACACCAGAGAGUUCAUGAUGUGGAAAAGCGGUUUACCUGCACUGUGUGUGGAAAGGGUUUUAAUAGAUCUUCUAACCUCCUCACGCACCAGCGCAUUCACACAGGGGAGCGGCCAUUCACCUGCUCCGAAUGUGGGAAAGGAUUCACAAGUUCAUCCCAUCUUCUGAAACACCAGCGUGGACACACUGGGAGGAAGCCUUUCACUUGCUCUCAGUGUGGGAAGGGAUUCACCAACUCCACUGACCUACUGACACAUCAACGCGUUCACACUGGGGAGCGGCCGUUCACCUGCUCAGAGUGUGGGAAAGGAUUCACUCAAUUGCAAAACCUAAUGAGACACCACCGAGUUCACACUGGAGAGAAGCCUUUCAUUUGCUUUGUGUGUUGGAAGCGAUUUGCUGAAUCACAGCACCUAAGGAGACACCAACAAAUUCACAAGUGACUGCCGUGAUUGCAUUCUGCUGUUAUUCACAUCCACCACUGAACGUUCUCAUAUUUGGGGUUUAUUUUUGCUGCUGUAAACUCCAGUCUGUUGUAGAGUUAUUAAUAUUUGUUCUUUGUAAUUAAUUGAUCAACCAGGGUCUAAUUGAAUGGCAGAGCCUGACCAAGAGUUGAAUGGCCUACUCCAGUUCCUAUGUACUUUCAUCACAGACGUCUCACUCUCUUUUUUUAGUUUGCUGAAAUGCUGGUUUAUGGAGAAAAGUCUUCUUCCUGUUCUUCCAUGAGUUUCCAUUCAUUAGUUCUGUUUGAGUCCAGGUUUGGUAGGAAUUAGAAGUGGACAUUUUUAGCUUUUCAAGACUAUUGCUAUUCAUUGAGGUCAUGGCUGAUCUGUAACUGAAUGUUAAUUACCCAUGUAUUAUUUUAAUAUUGGCUUCCAGUCUGUUGCAAGCUAUUUUAAAAUAAAUUUUGUUCAUAUUGCACCUUCAGUUAGGCAAGUUUCCCAAGGUGCAUCUUGGAAGCAUACAAUGUUAAAUUUGACAAAAAUCUAUAUUUUCUAAUCAACCCGUUCAGAGAUGGUAUUACAGAUCUCAGAAGCGGAUAAGAUUUUAACCUAGGCAUUCUGGUUCAGAGUUACACACCACCACACCAGAAGAGUCUGAUCUUCUGACAAAAAUAUUGACAUUGAGUCAAAGAAAGGGAGUUUGGGAAGGCUGAAUACAAUGCUUAGUUAAUGGCUUUGUUUUUUAACUCUGAAAGGAGAGAUACAGACUGAUGAAGAGGGAGAGUGAGAAUGUUAAGGUCGAUGCCCUGUAGGCUGAACCUUCUGUCAGAGACUGUGAGUGAUGUAUCAGAGGCUGAAGUUUGAGGAAUGCAGAGCUCUCUUGUUAUCCAGAUGAAGGAGGUUACAGAUAUUGGAACGUGUGUGCAAUAUAAGGGACUUGACAAGAAAAUAACAACAUACAAAUGGAGGCAUUUGUGGAGCUGGAGGCAUUGCAGAUCUAGUGAGUAGAGGAGUAAUGGACAAGUGUCGGGGAAAUGUGCAUCAGAAUAUGGAUAGGCUGAACCUUCAGCCCAUAGGGGAUAGUCAGAAGAGAACAAUAAUAGACAAGCAGAAGGACAACACAGUCACAUAGAAGAGCUCAAGAGAGGUACUGAGGGAAUGACACAUGCUAUCACUGUACAUAUGGAACCUGAUGUCAUGUGUUUGGCUGAUGGCCCAAGAGGCAGCCUGUAUGUAAGAUUUUUGAGAAGUCAUCAGGAGACCAAUGGAGGAGAGCCUAAGGUAAAGGGAUCCAGUGCAGAAAAUUGUGAUAACUUAGAGAAGAUAAAGUAGCAGAGCAAGGUAGAACUGAGAGAAAUGAUAAUCAGAGCACUUGUGGAAGGGACCGAAGAAAUAAUACGUAAGAGGUAAGGCUACAGAUCUUCAAAAUGGUGAAGAGAUAGAAAUAAAGGCUCUGUAUCUGAAGGAAAAUAGAAUUCAUUACAAAACAUAUUAAUUGACAGCUGAAAUCUUUUUUUUUAAAAAAGUACAUGAUAGCUAUUACAAAGACCUGGCUGCAAGAUAACAAAUUCGAUAACAUGGGGCCUGAAUAUUCAAGGGUAUAUACACCACAGAUGGACAGGAAGCUAGGAAAUGGUAAAUGAGUAACUGUUAAGAAUGAUAUUUUUACAAUAGAUAAUUGUGACUUCAUUUGUAAUGGUCAAGAUCUAGAAUCAGUUUUGAUAGAGAUCAGAAGUUCUAAAGAUAAGACGUAAUUUGUAAGAGACAUUUUUUUUAGAUCACCAAACAAUAGGAUGGGUAUAUGGGAGGAAAUAAUGGGGGCUUGUGAAAAAGAUACAGCAAUAAUCAUGGUGUUCUUAAUGUAUGGAUUGAAUCAAUCAGAUUGGCAAAGGUAUCCUGGAAGACGAAUUCAGUGAGUAUUUCUGGGAGCAUUUCCUAGAGCAACACAUUCUCAAGCCAGUCAGGAAAGCUGUGCUAGAUGUGAUAAUGUGCCACAAGAGGCUUAAUUAAGGACAUAAUUGUAAAAUUGCCUUUACAUACCAAUAAUCUUAGUAUGACAGUUUGUGAGAGGAAAGUAGGCCUUAGAUUAGUGUUUUAAUGUCAUUAAGGACAGUUAUGGAGUACAGUUCUAGUUAAAGUGAACUGGGAAAUUCUGUUGAGGAACAAAUCAAAAGAGAUAAAUGGCAAAGAUGCAGGUCAUUGUGAAAGAGUCUAGAUGGAGAAUUCACUAUCUGUAACUAACUAAGAAAACCAAAGAGUGUCAAAUUGAAAGAAAAAGUUGCACAAUUCUGUGAAGAAUAGUGGCAGUCCAGAAGAUGGGCAGAGAAUAUCUUAAAAAGUAGUGAAGUAAGGCAGAAAAACUAGCUGUAAAUAUUUUUUGAGUGUUUCUAUAAAUAUUUUAGAUCAAAAAAGAUUAAGGAAAUUGUUGGUCUUGUAGAGAGUGACAAAAUUAAUAAUGGAAAGUGAACAAUAUUUUGUCUGGCAUCACGGUAGUGAAUACAAAUAACCAAAAAAUCCCAUAAAUAAUUGUAAAUCAGGUGGCAGGAAGGAAGAACUUAGUCACUAGAAAUGUUUACUGAGAGAACUAAAAAGCCAGUAAGUUAUUGGGUCCUAAUGGGGUGCUUCCUAGGUUCUUAAAAGAAGUAGCUGUUGGGAUAAUUGGUGCAUUGGCUUUGCUUCAAAAUUCCAUAGAUUCAGGAAUGGUUUACUCGGAUGGGAAAAUAGUGAAUGCAGGUGGUCAGUUCAAGAAGAAUGGAGACAGAAAGUAGGAAUUACAUGUUAGUUUAACAUCUGUCAUUGGGGAAAUGCUAGACUUUUUUAAGGUUAUUGCAGGGCACUUAGAAAAUCUCAAUGUGAUCAGGCAGAGUUAACACGGUUUUUAAAAAGUACAGACAUGUCUGACAAAUUCAUUUGGUUUCUUGAAGCAACAUGCCAUUUGAAAAAUGGGAAUCUGUGGAUGUGCUACAAUUAGGUUUUCAGAAAGAACCAUCUUGAAUCUUAUUGCAACAUAAACCUUUAGAAAAUAGAUGACUCUUCAGACAGAUGAUCUCGAUCAGUGCAGGCUUGGAGGGCUGAAGGGCCUGUUCCUGUGCUCUAAUUUUCUUUGUUCUUUAUACAAAAUUGAAGAGAUUCGACAACAUAGUUCCCUCUGUGGGAGAGACUAGUAAAAAGUGACAGUUUAAAAAUAAAGGCACUUUCACUUAUGAUGGAGGUGAAGAGAAUUUCUUUGAGAUUCAAGAGCCUUAGAAUCUCUCUUCCCUAGAGAACAGGGCAGGGGCGGUUGCGCAGUCUUCGAAUAUUUUUUAAGGCCGAGUGAGAAAGAUCCUCGACUUUACCCUAAUACUCUGACCCUUUUUUUUAAAAGACAGGAAAGUGGAGCUGAAGCCAGUCAGAUCAGCCAAUGAUCUUAUUAAAUGGUGGAGCAGGUUUGAAGGGCUGAUUGGCCUACCCCCUGCUCCUAUUAUUAUGCUCAUAAUGGGGUGAGGUGGAAGCAAAGUGAGGUCAGCCCCAGUCAACUGGAUGAUGGGAAUGGGGUGUUGGAGGAUGUUUUCAUUUGACUUGGUCAGUAUGAGGGAUCGCGUCCCACACUUACACAGGAUGUCCCUUUCGUAGACUCCCUACAGUGCGGAAGCAACCCAAACAGCUUAUUAAGUCCACAACAAAGCUCCGAAGAGCAUCUCACCCGGACCCCUGAUAAUGCUGUGUUUUCCAUGGCCAAUCUGUCUGGCCUGUGGGAAGAAACUGGAGCACCCAGAGCAAACCUGCACAGACAUGGGGAGAAUGUGCAAACUCCACAUACAGUCACCUGAGGCUGGAAUUACACCCAGAUCACUGAGCUACUGUGACUGGGAUUGAAGCUGUUUGUGUGUUUAAAAGCUGUAUCUUUAAAAUGUUUCAGUAGUCUUGAUUGUGGAAUGAAAUGCUAAAAGGUCUGCAUUAAAAGCCAAGGGUAGUUGAAGGAUUACUGAACUUUUAAAAAGCAAGGAACUUUACCCUCAUUGUAAAUGUUUAGUUGUCUAUGCAAGUAGUUGGAAGCCCAGGCAUUGGCAAGCUGGAACCAAUGGGGUUGGGGGUGGUGGGGAGAUGGUGUACAAGUGUAGCUAUGGCUGGCCACAAGUAGCUGAUUUGACAACAGGCCAUUAGUCCACAGACCAAUGACCAAGAACUCCUGCCUGCAAAUAAUUAUUUGACUGCGAGUAGCUGAACAGCCUGAGUAAAUGAUUGUUUGGGCAGAAGCCGUCGGACCUUCAGAAAGGAAGGAGCUGUUUUGCUCUGCAGCAAAAAGCUUCUUGAACCUGGUAAGAGCUAGCUUAUUUCUCCUCAUCAGUUGCUGUAAGCUGUGGCUUUCAAUUAAGUCCGAGACGUCUGUGAACCGGUCAAUCUGUGCCUCCUGCAAACAACUGAAAGUACAGAGAGGCAAGAUUGAGAAGCAGCAUACUGAUGGGCAAAAGGAAUGUCUCAAUAAACCCUGAUGGGCAGGAACCAUUGAUCUGCAUUACCAGUCUUUCCCUUCAAUUAUAACACCCAUGGUUUCUAUCUCUUAUUUGUGUCUGUAUGUAUGUGUAUGUAAACAGAAAUUAUAGGAGGGUUAAGAGUUUUAACUAGUAGAGAUCUAUGCCUUCAUAAUUGUGUAUCUGUAGUUAGAAUCUACUUACUUGUAAUAAAUAGUAAUCCUUGUCAAGUACAGAAACCUGGUCUGUGCUUUGUUAACCUGGGUCAAAAAGACAGGUAAAUUGGGAAAUUCUGCAUAUUGCAAAAAAAUUGUUAACUUUUGUCAUGACUCUGCAUAGUGGAG